GACCUGCUCCUGGUAUGACUACAUGCCUACU
rnacentral:piRNA from 1 species